UACGUAGGGGGCUAGCGUUGUCCGGAUUUAUUGGGCGUAAAGAGCGUGUAGGCGGCCAGGUAGGUCUGCUGUGAAAACCCGAGGCUCAACCUCGGGCCUGCAGUCGAUACGGGCAAACUAGAGUACUGCAGGGGAGACUGGAAUUCCUGGUGUAGCGGUGAAAUGCGCAGAUAUCAGGAGGAACACCGGUGGCGAAGGCGGGUCUCUGGGCCGAUACUGACGCUGAGGAGCGAAAGCGUGGGGAGCGAACAGG
rnacentral:rRNA from 1 species